CCAAAUAAAGUUUUAUUUAAAUAUCUCUUUGUUAAUGAGAAGUCUAGAUUUUGGC
rnacentral:tRNA from 1 species